rnacentral:rRNA from 1 species
UACGUAGGGACCAAGCGUUGUCCGGAAUCAUUGGGCGUAAAGAGCGUGUAGGCGGCCAUACAGGUCAGCUGUGAAAACUCGAGGCUCAACCUCGAGACGUCGGUUGAAACCGUUUGGCUAGAGUCCGGAAGAGGAGAGUGGAAUUCCCGGUGUAGCGGUGAAAUGCGCAGAUAUCGGGAAGAACACCCGUGGCGAAGGCGGCUCUCUGGGACGGUACUGACGCUGAGACGCGAAAGCGUGGGGAGCGAACAGG